UUUCCGUAGGUGAACUGCGGAAGGAUCAUUAAAAAUGAGACUAUUCAAGGUCUAUUAAUAAUCCUACCCUUUGUGAAUUUGUUUGUUUAAUUAUGUGUCUUUCCUGUUUUGAUGAGCUUGUUUAAGAAAUCAAUCAGGGAGUGGCAAAACUUUUUUUAAAUUAAACUUUUUGUAUUCAUUUGUCUAAAAUAUUUUUAUAAUAUAAAAACAACUUUUGACAAUGAUUCUUGUUCUCGCAACGAUGAAGAACGCAGCAAAAUGCGAUAAGUAGUGUGAAUUGCAGAUACGUGAAUCAUCGAAUCUCGAACGCAUAUUGCACUUUUUGGUUACCAAAAAGUAUGUCUGUUUGAGUAUCAGUAAAAUAUUCUCAUAAAACUAUUGUUUUUAUGGUUAUGAGUGUUUACAACGAUAAACAAGUUGUUUACUUUAAAUUCUUUGUCUUUAAAAAAUCAUUAAAAACUGAUUUUUUUUUAAAUUGGAUAAAUUUUCCCGUAAAAAGGAAUACCUAAACAAUUUAAUUAAAAUUGGUUUGAUUCUUUUAAGACUUUAAAGGAAAAAAAGUAAAAUUAACUUGAUCUCAAUCAGAUAAGAGUACCGCUGAACUUAAGCAUAUCAAUAAGCGGAGGAAAAGAACUAACUAGGAUUCCUCAGUAACGGCGAGUGAAGCGGAAGAGCUCAAAUUUGAAUCUUCAAGGUUCUACCUUGACGAAUUGUAGUUUAAAGAAGUGUUUUCUGUUGGAGUUUUGGUAAAGUUCUUUGGAAUAGACAUCAUAGAGGUGAGAAUCCGUAUUUGACAUUAUUUCAACUUUGUGAUACACUUUCAAAGAGUCGAUUGUUUGGGAAUGCAGUCCAAAUGGGUGUAAAUUUCAUCUAAAGCUAAAUACUGCGAGAGACGAUAGGAACAAGUACCGUGAGGAAAGAUGAAAAACUUUGAAAAGAGAGUUAAACAGUACGUGAAAUUGUCAAAAGGGAAGCGUUUGACACCAGUGUUGUUUCUCGAAAAUCAAUUAAAAAUGGUGGAUUUUGUGUUGUAUUGACUUUAUCAGCUUUCUGCACUUUUUCCUAUCUUUUUAAUGCACUUUUCGUUUAACAAGUCAACAUCAAUUUCUUUUGUUGUAAAGAGUCAUUGGAGGUGGCUUUCUUUCGGAGAAAUGUUUAUAGCUUUGGCUUUUGCAAUCGGAGAGAUUGAGUCUGCAGCGUAGAUCCUUCGGGUUAGAUACAUUUGUGCUAAGUUAUAGCUUUCAUAGACAACUUGUUGACUAUGAUCAUCAUGUAGCUUACUCGUUAUGCUAUUUACUACGCUUAGAUGU
rnacentral:misc_RNA from 1 species